CGCAUCUGUGCAUGCAGCAUAUCAAUAAGCGGAGGAAAAGAAACUAACAAGGAUUCCCCUAGUAACGGCGAGUGAAGCGGGAAGAGCUCAAAUUUGAAAUCUUAAAGGGUUUCCCUUUACGAAUUGUAGUUUAAAGAAGUGUUUUCUGUUGAGGUUUUGGUAAAAGUUCUUUGGAAUAGGACAUCAUAGAGGGUGAGAAUCCCGUAUUUGACCUUUACUUUCAACUUUGUGAUACACUUUCAAAGAGUCGGAUUGUUUGGGAAUGCAGUCCAAAAUGGGUGGUAAAUUUCAUCUAAAGCUAAAUAUUGGCGAGAGACCGAUAGCGAACAAGUACCGUGAGGGAAAGAUGAAAAGAACUUUGAAAAGAGAGUUAAACAGUACGUGAAAUUGUCAAAAGGGAAGCGUUUGACACCAGUGUUGUUUUUCUGAAAAUCAAUUAAAGAACUGUUUAUGCUAAGUUGUUUAGACUUUAUCAGCUAUCUGCUUAGUUUUGAGCUUUUCUUUAAUGCACUUUUCAGUUAACAAGUCAACAUCAAUUUCUUUUGCUGUAAAAAAGCUUGAGGAAGGUGGCUUGAGAUUCGUCUUAAGUGUUUAUAGCCUCUUGCCUAUGCAGUCGGAGAGAUUGAGGUCUGCAGCGUAGAUCCUUCGGGGCUAAAUGCAUUUGUGCUAAGUUAUAGCAUUUUAUAGACAACUUGUUGACUAUGAUUUGUCUUGUAGCUUACUCGCUUAUGUUAUUUUACCUACGCUUAGGAUGUUGAAUCUGUGCGAGACUAC
rnacentral:rRNA from 1 species